UCUGUUCGCGACCUGCCUUUUGUUCUCCAUCGAAAGUUCCCCCCGCCCCCGGCAUACUCUCGGACUCUCGGUUCUCCCCGUCCUAUCCUAUCGCGUGCCGCGUGCGCUCCGUGGAGUGUGGACUGCGGUGGCGACUACUGGGGCGGCCGCCGCCGCCACCGCCUAACGCCAGUUGCCCAGGUCUCUAUCUUCGGGACCUUUCGCCGGCGACGAGCACCCACCAGGUAGGAUGUCGCCUUUGUUCAGACACUGCUGUGCCUUUGGAAGUCAUCAUCCUCAUCCCUUAAUUUGGAGGAGCAUCUUCCAAACAUCGGGAAGAGAACAAAAACAAAUCAGGAGUUGGAGGGCACAGUGCUCAGCAAAUCAGGAUCAAGCUUCUAUAGAGAAAAGCAAUGCUCCAAAGAAUUUAGCAAUACCUGAUGAUUCACUUCUCGAUGCUCGUAUUCUCUAUUGUACCUCUCCUGCCCUGGGUCAUAACAAAGAAGCCCAUCCAGAAUCUAACAAAAGAGUUCCUGCAAUAGUUGAUGCUCUUGAGAAAUUGGAGCUUAGUCCCAAGCAUCGUGGUUCACAGGUUCUUGAAAUUCAAAAUUUCAACCCGGCUUCUCUAGAUGAUGUUGCACGAGUUCAUUCAAGAUCUUACAUCACUGGACUCGAAAAGGCUAUGCGUAGAGCUUCAGAUGAAGGUCUGAUAUUUAUUGAAGGGACUGGACCAACAUACGCUACAGAGACUACUUUCCAAGAAUCACUUCUAUCAGCUGGUGCCGGCAUCACAUUGGUUGAUUCAGUGGUCGCAGCGUCAAAGUUAGGUCCUAAUCCGCCCCUUGGCUUUGCUUUAGUAAGGCCACCAGGACAUCAUGCUGUUCCUCAAGGUCCCAUGGGUUUUUGUGUCUUUGGGAACAUCGCAGUGGCAGCUCGGUACGCUCAGCAUCAACAUGGACUAAAGCGUGUGAUGAUAAUAGAUUUUGAUGUUCACCAUGGCAAUGGGACAUCCGAUGCAUUUUAUGUUGAUCCAGACAUAUUCUUCCUCUCAACUCACCAGCUUGGAAGCUACCCUGGUACUGGUAAGAUCAAUGAAGUCGGGCAGGGUGAUGGUGAAGGCACGACACUCAACCUUCCUCUGCCCGGUGGUGCAGGUGACUACGCAAUGAGAUAUGCAUUUGAUGAGGUCAUUGCUCCAUCGGCUCAUCGAUUCAAGCCUGAUAUAAUCCUUGUCUCAGCCGGAUACGAUGCACACGUGCUGGACCCUCUGGCUGGCCUGCAGUUCACAACAGGCACGUUCUACAUGUUGGCAUUCAGCAUCAAGCAGCUGGCGAAGGAACUCUGUGGUGGCCGCUGUGUCUUCUUCCUGGAAGGCGGGUACAACCUGCAGUCGCUCUCCAGCUCUGUUGCCGACACGUUCCGUGCAUUCCUUGAUGAGACCAGCCUCGCAGCACAGUUCGAUGAUCCAGCGAUACUUUUUGAAGAGCCAACUCGGAAGAUCAAAGACGCAAUUGAGAAGGCCAAGGGCAUCCACUCACUCUAGGCUGGCACUACAUUUGGAAAAAGUGCUGUCAGCAGUGUGUACUGCAGAAGUGCAAGAUCUUGUUGCAUUUUGCAGGCACGGAAACCUCUGGAGCUACAACAGAACUUCGCGCAAGUGAAGUUCUCAGGCCUGUCUCUGUGAGCACAAGUGAAGUUCUGGGGUCUGUCUCUGGGUACACUGGUGCCUGGUGGAGCAACAGGGCGAGCAAAACCAGUCUGACUCAGGGAAGCUCUGGACUGGCACCGGCAAGAAACCUCUAAAAUCGUAGACCAGCUGACAACUGAGGCUGUCCAUGACCGGCUGACCCUGAGUAUCACCAAGGCCUUUGUUUAGUUUCUGAUAAAUUUUGCAAAAAAAUUCAGAUUUCUCGUCA